rnacentral:lncRNA from 1 species
CCAAUUCUGAUAAAUAUUUAUGGAUUUGCCAUUUUGAACUUUUAAAAAUGUUCAUUUUUUUUUAUUUUUUUUGCUAAAAGACGUAUUAUAUAGGAGAUAUUAAACCCUAAAGAUAAUUAGAGCCGAUUAAAACCAAACAUAACAAGUGAAACACAUUUUUAAUCACAUUUUUCUAAACUAAAAAAUGGCAUAUCCAUAAGACUUUACCAAAAAUGGCAAAACCAAAGUUUGGUCCAGAAAAAUGGCGAAUUCAAAUUUUUUUCACAAAAAAU